UCAUUCCCUCCUUGCGGUCCCGUUUCGGCUCCAGGAGCUCUUCCAAACACAUUUUCUGGUUCUCGAAUUUCUUCUUUUCCUAAGUCUUGUGAAGCAAAGGUUAUAGUUUCCAUUGUAGUUGUGGCAGUGAUAUCUUCCAUUACCGCAAGAUCUUCUGUUGAAGUUUCAGUUGUAACAAGUUCUGGAGCAUCUGUUACAAUAGUGGUAGAAGGUGACAAU
ensembl:ncRNA F12F6.17 ncRNA